rnacentral:lncRNA from 1 species
CCGGGCUCCUGGCGGGGGUGGGGGGGAGGCGGCCCUCCGUCACCGGGGGUCACUGACCCCUCCGAGAGGAGCUGCUCCCAAAGCACCGACUCGUUCCCGGCCAGCAGUGAAUCAAGUUUUCUCCUCCCAGGGGAGCCAGAUCUCCCUCCAGGCUGGCGAGUCCGGCCCCCCACCCCCCGCCUCCCUCCCGGAGCACAUCUUCCCUGUCCGGGGAUCCGGACCUUGGAGCCCCAGAGCCCCCAGCCCCUCAGUCGCUCAGCAAAUAGCUACUGAACACAUCCAACGUGUCAGGGGAUUCAGUGUAGCACAAGACAAGGCCUGGAUUGUCCUGCUCCCCUGAGAUUUUUUGGGGGGGGAGUGACCGACGAUGAACUAGUAAAUAUAUAAAUACAAUAAAUACAGACUGCUCUUAGGGCCCCAAGGAUGCAUCUUCAAGUCACAUUUCCAGUACAUUGCGUGCAUCGCACAUCCAGGAUCCUGUCCCGACCCUCAGAAGCCCUGAGGAUAGUCCGGGAAUCUGCAUACUCAACAGCACUCCAGGUGACUCUCAGACCACUCCGUGCUGAUGCUGCCUUCGGGGAAGACAAGCCUGAAUCCUCCUCUCUUCCUGGGACAGGGAAUUUCCUUCUUGAACCUUGACUAAGCCGCCGAUCUGGGAAAUCAGCAGGGAGGGAAAGCCUGGGUUCACUGCCCGAGCCGGGCAAGUGGCAAGCGCAGGCAAGCGCAGCCCUUCCCUCUCCCGGGCUCCAGCCCCUGGGCCCUGGGCCUGAGAAGAGCGGGCCCCCACAGGGGAGGAGUACGGUGCUCCUUCCCCUCCGCUCCCCCCCCCCCAACCAGUGCUGAGCCCUCCCAGCUGUGCUGUGCUGGGAACAGGCCAGGCAUUUGUGAAAUCCUUGGGUGAGCCUGACCCACUGUCAUGAGGACUGCCUGUGGAAGCUGGUGCAGGGAGGGGGAUGGGGGGCUGUUCCCAGAAGCGGGGAGAACUCUGGACUUCCCACUCCUGAGUGCUCUGCAUUGCAGCACGGCCUUAAGCAACAGCAGUGGUCUGGAAGGCUGCAUUGCAGAGAACCAGAGGCCCCAGGCUCUCUUCUGAAAAGAAGCUAGGGCUCUGAAUGCUAAAACCGCGCUCUCCUGGUUACAGGUCACUGCUGCCAUUCAUAGCAAGGAUCUUAGAGAAAGGCUGAAUCGAGGCUAGACUUACCAAAA